GUUGUGAAAUUCAGGUGACCGACAUUGCGGGCAGAUCGAAAACUUUUCAUCAUAAUGUCUCGUUACUCCAGACCACCCAACUCUUCAUUAUAUGUCAGAAAUGUCCCUUCGACUGAAAGGGCAGAGGAAAUGGCGGAAGAAUUGCGAGCAUUGUUUGGUAAAUAUGGACCCCUCACAGAUGUCUACGUACCAGUAGACUAUUACACACGAGAUCCCCGAGGUUUUGCUUAUGUACAAUGUUUGAAGAUUCUCGAGAUGCAGAUGAUGCUCUCUACCACUUAGACAGAACAAGGUUCUAUGGAAUGGAGCUUGAGGUGGAAUUUGCCAGAGGAGAUCGCAAAACACCAAAUCAGAUGAGAUCAAAGGACCGUGGAGGAAGACGAAGCUCCCCGUACAGAGAUAGCUACUAUGGAGGCGACCAUGACAGGAGACGGAACAGGAGGCGAUCUAGGAGCAGAAGUCCAAGAUACAGAUCAAAGUCCAGAAGCCCCAAAAGAAGCCGAAGGAGGAGUCGAUCUAAGAGUCCAUACGAGAGAAGGAAAUCCAGAUCCAGAAGCAGAGAAAGGAGAAGAACACCAUCAAGAUCUAGGUCAAGGUCAUAUGAAAGACGUAGGAGUGGCUCCCCCAGAAGAUCAAGGUCUUACAGUCGCUCUGCCUCAAGGUCACCAGGACAUGGAAAAGAGGAGUCGCCGGCAAGAAACGGUCACAGUCGGAGUAGAAGUCGAAGUCCUCCCCCUGUCGCUGACCAUUAAACUUUAAUGAUUGAACAAGACUUCCAUUUUUAAAAGAUUGACGUUCGAGCAACAAAGAAUUUCUUUUUCUUGUGAACAAAUGUAUCGGACAGAUACACAAACAAGCUUUUUUCCUGAACUUUUUAUAUUUUUUUUCUCAUUUUGAAUGUAUUACAUUGUUGUAAUCUCAUACGGAUCAAGCUUGCCACAUUAUGAUUUAUAUUCAUUAGAGUUGUUCGAAUAUUUAUUAAUUGAUCAAAAAGUCAUCUGUUUUUUGUCAAUUAACAAUAACAUCAGACAUAUUUUUUUUAGCACAGAGAACACAUUUCUUUUGUCUUGAAAUAAAUGCAGUGUUAAAAAUAGUUCAUGAUGUUUUUCUUUGAAUCGUUUUGAUGUGGAUCCUUUUAUUUGCAGACUGUUUAACUAUGGACAAACUUAUGAGUGUUCAAAAUGUAGAAGAUGAGGAGAUGUGCAUGUUUAAAAUGUAAUACAACAGAUAAUAAAUUGUAUGCUGCUGGA
rnacentral:misc_RNA from 1 species